CCUACGGGAGGCAGCAGUGAGGAAUAUUGGUCAAUGGACGAGAGUCUGAACCAGCCAAGUAGCGUGAAGGAUGACUGCCCUAUGGGUUGUAAACUUCUUUUAUAAAGGAAUAAAACGAGGCACGUGUGCCUUGUUGCAUGUACUUUAUGAAUAAGGAUCGGCUAACUCCGUGCCAGCAGCCGCGGUAAUACGGAGGAUCCGAGCGUUAUCCGGAUUUAUUGGGUUUAAAGGGAGCGUAGAUGGGUUGUUAAGUCAGUUGUGAAAGUUUGCGGCUCAACUGUAAAAUUGCAAUUGAGACUGGCAGUCUUGAGUACAGUUGAGGUCGGCGGAAUUCGUGGUGUAGCGGUGAAAUGCUUAGAUAUCACGAAGAACCCCGAUCGCGAAGGCAGCUUACUAAACUGUGACUGACAUUGAUGCUCGAAAGUGUGGGUAUCAAACAGGAUUAGAUACCCCAGUAGUC
rnacentral:rRNA from 1 species